GGACGAUUAUGGCUCGAAUUGAACGCUGGCGGGAUGCUUUACACAUGCAAGUCGAACGGCAGCACGGACUUCGGUCUGGUGGCGAGUGGCUUGAACGGGUGAGUAAUGUAUCGGAACGUGCCUAGUAGCGGGGAUAACUACGCGAAAGCGUAGCUAAUACCGCAUACGCCCUUCGGGGAAAGCAGGACCUUCGGGCCUCACUAUUAGAAGCAGCCGAUAUCGGAUUGGCUAGUUGGUGGGGUAACGGCUCACCAAGGCGACGAUCCGUAGCUGGUUUGAGAGGACGACCAGCCACACUGGGACUGAGACACGGCCCAGACUCCUACGGGAGGCAGCAGUGGGGAAUUUUGGACGGGAAACCCUGAUCAGCCAUCCCGCGUGUGCGAUGAAGGCCUUCGGGUUGUAAAGCACUUUUGUAGGAAAAACGGCACGGGAUAUUACCCCGUGCAACUGACGGUACCUGCAGAAUGGCUUCGGCUAACUACGUGCCAGCAGCCGCGGUAAUACGUAGGGUGCAAGCGUUAAUCGGAAUUACUGGGCGUAAAGCGUGCGCAGGCGGUUCGGAAAGAAGAUGUGAAAUCCCAGAGCUUAACUUUGAACUGCAUUUUCACUACCGAGCUAGAGUGUAUCAGAGGAGGUGGAAUUCCACGUAUGUAGCAGUGAAAUGCGUAGAUAUGCGGAGGAACACCGAUGGCGAAGGCAGCCCUCCUGGGAUAACACUGACGCUCAUGCACGAAAGCGUGGGAGCAAACAGGAUUAGAUACCCUGGUAGUCCGCCUAAACGAUGUCAACUAGCUGUUGGGGCCUUCGGGCCUUGGUAGCGCAGCUAACACGUGAAGUUGACCGCCUGAAGUACAGUCGCAAGGUGCAAACUCAAAGGAAUUGACGGGGACCCGCACAAGCGGUGGAUGAUGUGGUCGUUCGAUGCAACAUGAAAACCUUACUACCGCCGACAUGUCUGGAAUCCCGAAGAGAUUGGGAGUGCUCGCAAGGGCGGAACACAGGUGCUGCAUGGCUGUCGUCAGCUCGUGUCGUGAGAUGUUGGGUUAAGUCCCGCAACGAGCGCAACCCUUGUCAUUUAGUUGCUACGAAAGGGCACUCUAAUGAGACUGCCGGUGACAAACCGGAGGAAGGUGGGGAUGACGUCAAGUCCUCAUGGCCCUUAUGGGUAGGGCUUCACACGUCAUACAAUGGUCGGGACAGAGGGUCGCCAACCCGCGAGAAGUUGAUCCCAGAAACCCGAUCGUAGUCCGGAUCGCAGUCUGCAACUCGACUGCGUGAAGUCGGAAUCGCUAGUAAUCGCGGAUCAGCAUGUCGCGGUGAAUACGUUCCCGGGUCUUGUACACCGCCCGUCACACCAUGGGAGUGGGUUUUACCAGAAGUAGUUAGCCUAACCGUAAGGAGGGCGGUCUACGGUAGGAUUCAUGACUGGGGUGAAGUCGUAACAAAGUA
rnacentral:rRNA from 1 species